rnacentral:rRNA from 1 species
CCUACGGGAGGCAGCAGUGAGGAAUAUUGGUCAAUGGUCGCGAGCCUGAACCAGCCAAGUCGCGUGCGGGAUGACGGCCCUAUGGGUUGUAAACUGCUUUUAUGCGGGAGUAAAAUGCGUCACGUGUGAUGUUUUGUAGGUACCGGAUGAAUAAGGACCGGCUAAUUCCGUGCCAGCAGCCGCGGUAAUACGGAAGGUUCGGGCGUUAUCCGGAUUUAUUGGGUUUAAAGGGAGCGUAGGCCGCAUGGUAAGCGUGCCGUGAAAUUCAGGGGCUCAACCCUGUCAGUGCGGCGGGAACUGGUUUGCUUGAGUGCGCGGAACGUAUGCGGAAUGCGUGGUGUAGCGGUGAAAUGCUUAGAUAUCACGAAGAACUCCGAUUGCGAAGGCAGCAUACGGGAGCGCUACUGACGCUGAUGCUCGAAGGCGUGGGUAUCGAACAGGAUUAGAUACCCUAGUAGUC